rnacentral:rRNA from 1 species
UACAGAGGGGGCAAGCGUUGUUCGGAAUUACUGGGCGUAAAGGGUGCGUAGGUGGCGCCGUAAGUCAGGUGUGAAAUUUCGGAGCUUAACUCCGAAACUGCAUUUGAUACUGCGGUGCUUGAGGACUGGAGAGGAGACUGGAAUUCACGGUGUAGCAGUGAAAUGCGUAGAUAUCGUGAGGAAGACCAGUGGCGAAGGCGGUCUCUGGACAGUUCCUGACACUGAGGCACGAAGGCCAGGGAGCAAACGGG